rnacentral:rRNA from 1 species
UACGAAGGGUGCAAGCGUUACUCGGAAUUACUGGGCGUAAAGCGUGCGUAGGUGGUUUGUUAAGUCUGAUGUGAAAAGCCCUGGGCUCAACCUGGGAAUUGCAUUGGAUACUGGCAGGCUAGAGUGCGGUAGAGGGUAGUGGAAUUCCCGGUGUAGCAGUGAAAUGCGUAGAGAUCGGGAGGAACACCAGUGGCGAAGGCGGCUCUCUGGACGGAUACUGACGCUGAGACGCGAAAGCGUGGGGAGCAAACAGG